rnacentral:rRNA from 1 species
CGCAGGUGGUUUCUUAAGUCUGAUGUGAAAGCCCACGGCUCAACCGUGGAGGGUCAUUGGAAACUGGGAGACUUGAGUGCAGAAGAGGAUAGUGGAAUUCCAAGUGUAGCGGUGAAAUGCGUAGAGAUUUGGAGGAACACCAGUGGCGAAGGCGACUGUUUGGUCUGUAACUGACACUGAGGCGCGAAAGCGUGGGGAGCAAACA